GGCCGGUUAGCUCAGUCCGUUGAGCGUGCCGCUAACAACGCUAAGGUCGCGGGUUCAAUUCCCAUUCGGUCC
rfam:Apaloderma vittatum contig41057, whole genome shotgun sequence.